UACGUAGGGGGCGAGCGUUGUCCGGAUUUAUUGGGCGUAAAGCGCUCGCAGGCGGUCGGCCGCGUCGCGCGUGAAGGCCCCCGGCUCAACCGGGGGUGGUCGCGGGAAACGGGUCGACUGGAGGUAGGUAGGGGGACGCGGAAUUCCCGGUGUAGUGGUGGAAUGCGUAGAGAUCGGGAGGAACACCGGCGGCGAAGGCGGCGUCCUGGACCUGGCCUGACGCUCAGGAGCGAAAGCGUGGGGAGCGAUCCGG
rnacentral:rRNA from 1 species